AACGCCGCGUGGAGGAAGACACAUUUCGGUGCGUAAACUCCUUUUAUAUAGGAAGAUAAUGACGGUACUAUAUGAAUAAGCACCGGCUAACUCCGUGCCAGCAGCCGCGGUAAUAC
rnacentral:rRNA from 1 species